GAUUUCAAUUGAAAACGUCAUCAACAACAAAAUUAUAUAACUCAUCAAGUUCUAAAACUUUUAUUUUUGUCAUUUCUUCAUCCGACAAAGUGUUAGUAACAUUGUUCAUAAAUUUUACAUAUACGUGCUAUAGUUUAUAAAACCAGAUAAGAGAUACGUCAAUUUUGUAAACAAUGUUAGUAUCACUUUGUCGGAUGAAAAAAUUUUGAUAGAUCUUGAUGAGUUAUUCAACUUUGUUGUUGAUAACUUUUUCGGUUGAAAUC
rnacentral:pre_miRNA from 1 species